AACGCACAUUGCGCUCUGUUUCGGCAGAGCAUGCUUGUUUGAGAAUCUAUAGUAUUUAUUCACUCAUGUGUCUCCUUUGGAGCACUGAGAGAGAUUUGGGUGUUCUGGUUUUCUAUGUAAAUAGUGACCAAGUUGCCUUAAAGCUAUUGUAGUGUUCGUCUAUGAGAUGUUUGAAUCUCUACCGAGCCAGUAUGUGAAUGGUGUAUGCCUUUACUCUUAUAUUGCGCUCAUGUAUGAGAUGAGUCUCUAGGAUUGAGUACUCUCACCUAUGAGUGGGAUUUUUUUUAUCUCACGAACCAUGGUCUCAAAUCAAGCAGGAAGACCCGCUGAACUUAA
rnacentral:misc_RNA from 1 species